GAGGGUAUAGCUCAAGUGGUAGAGAGUAUGCUUAGCAUGCACAAGGUCCUGGGUUCAAUCCCCAGUACCUCCA
rfam:Camelus ferus unplaced genomic scaffold scaffold1085, whole genome shotgun sequence.